rnacentral:rRNA from 1 species
AUUGAACGCUGGCGGCAGGCUUUAGACAUGCAAGUCGGACGGUAACAUGCUCUUCGGGGUGAUGACGAGUGGCGGACGGGUGAGUAAUGUAUAGGUAGCUACCUAGUAGUGGGGGACAACUUAGGGAAACUUAAGCUAAUACCGCAUGUAACCUUACGAGGGAAAGGAGGCUUUCGGGCUUUCGCUAUUAGAUGUGCCUAUAUUGGAUUAGCUAGUUGGUGGGGUAAAGGCUCACCAAGGCGACGAUCCAUAGCUGGUCUGAGAGGAUGGACAGCCACACUGGGACUGAGACACGGCCCAGACUUCUACGGGAGGCAGCAGUCGGGAAUAUUGGGCAAUGGGGGCAACCCUGACCCAGCCAUGCCGCGUGUGUGAAGAAGGCCUUAGGGUUGUAAAGCACUUUUAGUAAGGAGGAAAGGGUAAUAGUUAAUACCUAUUAUCUGUGACGUUACUUACAGAAACAGCACCGGCAAACUCCGUGCCAGCAGCCGCGGUAAUACGGAGGGUGCAAGCGUUAAUCGGAAUUACUGGGCGUAAAGGGCACGUAGGUGGUUUUUUAAGCUGGAUGUGAAAUCCCCGAGCUUAACUUGGGAAUUGCAACCAGAACUGGAAGGCUAGAGUGCAGUAGAGGAAGGUGGAAUUCCGCGUGUAGCGGUGAAAUGCGUAGAUAUGCGGAGGAACAUCGGUGGCGAAGGCGACCUUCUGGACUGACACUGACACUGAAGAGCGAAAGCGUGGGUAUCGAACAGGAUUAGAUACCCUGGUAGUCCACGCUGUAAACGAUGUCAACUAGUCGUUGGGACGUAAGUCUUAGUGGCGCAGCUAACGCGAUAAGUUGACCGCCUGGGGAGUACGGCCGCAAGGUUAAAACUCAAAUGAAUUGACGGGGGCCCGCACAAGCGGUGGAGCAUGUGGUUUAAUUCGAUGCAACGCGAAGAACCUUACCUACUCUUGACAUCCUAAGAAUUUUGUAGAGAUACGAAAGUGCCUUCGGGAGCUUAGAGACAGGUGCUGCAUGGCUGUCGUCAGCUCGUGUUGUGAAAUGUUGGGUUAAGUCCCGUAACGAGCGCAACCCUUAUACUUAUUUGCCAUCAUUAAGUUGGGAACUUUAAGUAGACUGCCGGUGACAAACCGGAGGAAGGUGGGGACGACGUCAAGUCAUCAUGGCCCUUACGAGUAGGGCUACACACGUGCUACAAUGGCUGGUACAGAGGGAAGCGAAGUCGCGAGAUGGAGCAAAACUCACAAAGCCGGUCUUAGUACGGAUUGCAGUCUGCAACUCGACUGCAUGAAGUCGGAAUCGCUAGUAAUCGCAAAUCAGAAUGUUGCGGUGAAUACGUUCCCGGGCCU